CUCAGUGUGUAGGUCUCAGUGUGUAGGUCUCAGUGUGUAGGUCUGAGUGUGUAGGUCUCAGUGUGUAGGUCUCAGUGUCUGGUCUCAGUGUGUAGGUCUCAGUGUGUAGGUCUCAGUGUGUGGGUCUCAGUGUGUGGUCUCAGUGUGUAGGUCUCAGUGUCUGGCCUCUGUGUGUAGGUCUCAGUGUGUAGGUCUCUGUGUGUAGGUCUCAGUGUGUAGGUCUCAGUGUCUGGUCUCAGUGUGUAGGUCUCAGUGUGUAGAUCUUAGUGUCUGAUCUCAGUGUGUAGGUCUCAGUGUGUAGGUCUCAGUGUCUGGUCUCAGUGUGUAGGUCUCAGUGUGUAGGUCUUAG
rnacentral:lncRNA from 1 species